UACCACCACCAUUUCAGCUAGCGAGGAGGCCGAGGCCUCCAGAUCUGGCGACCCCAGGCUCCCCGAUGGUGGGUCCGGUUGGCCGGA
rnacentral:pre_miRNA from 1 species